GUCCUGGCAGUAAACGGUGCGCGUUUGGUGUGGGAGGAUUCGACCCCUUCUGUGCCGGAGCUAACGCGUUAAACGCGCCGCCUGGGGAGUACGGUCGCAAGAUUAAAACUCAAAGAAAUUGACGGGGGCCCGCACAAGCGGUGGAGUAUGUGGCUUAAUUCGAUGCAACGCGAAGAACCUUACCUAGCCUUGACAUGCAUCUCUAAGUCGGUGAAAGCCGACGACCGUAGCAAUACGGAAUUUGCACAGGUGCUGCAUGGCUGUCGU
rnacentral:rRNA from 1 species